rnacentral:rRNA from 1 species
UGCAGUCGAGCGCUACCUUCGGGUGGAGCGGCGGACGGGUUAGUAACGCGUGGGAAUAUACCCUUCACUAUGGAAUAGCCUCGGGAAACUGAGAGUAAUACCAUAUACGCCCUUCGGGGGAAAGAUUUAUCGGUGAAGGAUUAGCCCGCGUAAGAUUAGAUAGUUGGUGGGGUAAUGGCCUACCAAGUCUACGAUCUUUAGCUGGUUUUAGAGGAUGAUCAGCAACACUGGGACUGAGACACGGCCCAGACUCCUACGGGAGGCAGCAGUGGGGAAUCUUAGACAAUGGGCGAAAGCCUGAUCUAGCCAUGCCGCGUGAGUGAUGAAGGUCUUAGGAUCGUAAAGCUCUUUCGCUAGGGAUGAUAAUGACAGUACCUAGUAAAGAAGCCCCGGCUAACUCCGUGCCAGCAGCCGCGGUAAUACGGAGGGGGCUAGCGUUGUUCGGAAUUACUGGGCGUAAAGCGUACGUAGGCGGAUCAGAAAGUAUGGGGUGAAAUCCCAGGGCUUAACCCUGGAACUGCCUCAUAAACUCCUGGUCUUGAGUUCGAGAGAGGUGAGUGGAAUUCCAAGUGUAGAGGUGAAAUUCGUAGAUAUUUGGAGGAACACCAGUGGCGAA